AUGAUAGAAGGAGACAGAUUAAGAAAUAGUGUUAGUUAGGUUGUUAGGGUGAGUAAGGUUGGUUUCCUUUAUAUAGUUAGAGGGUCCUGGAAUGGGAGGGGACUUUUUGGAUAAUUUUGUAGAUUGAGCUUUAGCUCUUUGUGAAGGGGAAACCCUUGGAGGAAAGAGUGCUCUCCUAUUUUGUGUUCUAUACAGUCUAUACAAUAAAGAAUAUUACUCUUUUGUCUCUUUUCAAUUCUGGUUUCCUAACAAAAUUGGUCCGACCUGCCAGAUCCCCUGGGAGAGGAGCGUGAUGGAAGGAAGAGCCACUACCUUAUAGAGGAGAAUGAAUUCGCUAGAGACCGUUGUAGAGGAACUGGAGGCGAAGACUAGGGAGAUGCACCAAGAACUUAAAGAAAUCACCAGAAUUCUUGGAAGAAGAACUAGCAACCAGGACAGGAGUUUAGAAAGAAGUGAGAAAUCUAUCAUGAAAGGAAAGAAAGAGGGAAAAACAGGUAGGGAUGCUGUGAAAGACAGUCUGCAAAACAACAAGAAAGGCAAGAAAUUCUCUAAAGAAGGAGAGUACUUGGCUAAUGAUGAAGAGAAGAAGGAAGAAAGAUAUCCACAGAGCAGUAAAGCAAAUGAACCACUUUUCCCAUGGGUUGAAAGAGUGGAGUUGUCCACGUUCAAAGGGAAUGGCACCCAGGGUCAAACAACAAGGGCAGCAGAUGUUUUUGAAGUUCAGAACAUCAAAGGAUCAACAAAGGUACACCCAACAGUCAAUAACAUGGAAGAAAAUGCAGUCCAAGGAUUCAAGACCUGGCAAAAAAAAUCCAAGAACCUUUCUUGGUAAGAUCUUCCUAAAGGUCACUGUAGGAGUUGUAGGGGCAGAGAAUGCAACACCACUUUUGAAAAGUGUGGGGGUAGAAAACAGAGUGCCAUUGUUGGAAAAUGGGCAACAAUUAAAAAAGAAAGGGUGGAAGAUUACAUUCAAGAAUUUAAAAUGGGAAAAAACAAUAGGGGUGAAUUUUAUUAUGCUACUGAUGUGCCUUAGUAAUAAUACGCAACAUGAUAGUUUAUGGGACAUGGAUAUUCUUUAUAUGCAUAAAGAUAUUGGCAUUCUUGAGGAGGUAGGGGAAAAUGCACGGAGAGUUUUACUUGAGAGUUUGACAGCAGUAAAAUGGACUAGGAGUGGGGAAAAAUUCAUCCAAGAAUUCAAGAUAUUGAUGUCACAAGCAAAUAAAACACCAGAAGAUCAAUUGCAGGGAUUUUUCUUUGCAGGGCUGCAAUCUAACAUUCACAAUUGGUUGCCACAUCAGGAUCUAAAGAACUUGAUUAGAGAUUCACAAAGUGCUCUAAUUGUGGGAGAAAGGCCAGCAAUGAAGAAUCAAACUCCCUGUAGGGAAGAAAAAACCAAAACAGAAGGGAGAUUUUGUACAGAAAAAUAUAGUAUGAUGGAGGAGGAAGGAGAUGCAACCAUAAAGAGAGUUGAAGAUGGAGAUGCAGCCAAGCAACAAUUUUUCCCAAAAUCAGGUUUACUUAAUGUGAAUAAGAAUUCAUGGCUGAACUUAGAUGUGAUCAUGAUUGGAACAUCAAUGACUUUGGAAUUUAGGGAUUCCAAAUUACUAGGUUCAGAAUAUGGUAUACAAAAACUACACUCAUAUCAACCACCACCCAAGCCUCUAGAUCUGAAAUUGCAGGCAGCAGCCAGUGGGAUCCCUUCCGAAUAUAAGACAAUAUCCCACUGUCAUGGGAUCAAGCUUCACUGUACCAACCUUGAGGACAAGGUUGUUCUGCGGCGGUGUGUAAUAGUAUUAGUUAGGUUGUUAAGGUGAGUGAUGUUGGUUUCCUUUUAUAUAGUUAGAGGGUCCUGGAAUGGGGGGACUUUAUGGAUAAUUCUGUAGAUUGAGCUUUAGCUCUUUGUGAAGGGAAAACCCUUGGAGGAGAGAGUGUUCUCCUAUUUUGUGUUCUAUACAAUUUAUACAAUAAAGAAUAUUACUCUUUUGUCUCUUUUC
rnacentral:lncRNA from 1 species